CCUGGGGUGAUGGGAUGGGGAUGGCAGGGGGAAGGAUGCAGAGGGUGGCAGCACCUGGGAACACCCCCAGCUUUGGGAGUUUCUGUGACCCAGGUUUGGGGUGGGUUUGCACCCAAGGGGAUGGAGCUGUCAGAGCAAAGCCUGCAGGCACAUAAUGACGGGAAAGCUGUGCUAGGACCCCGAUGGUUUUGCCUGCAGGGUUUGGGCUGGGUACAGACCCAUUCCUGCUCCAGGCUUCCCAGCCCUGGGUUGGGGGUGCUGUGGGGGCAGGGGGGCUCUGGGAAGUGCAGCUCUGAAAACAGGGAAGGGGCAAAGCCCCCUCUCUGCUCUUCCAGCUGAGGCCCGUGGGACCUGCAGCACCUGCCCAGUGUGGGUGAUUACCACAAUGGGGGAACUGAGGCCAUGAUACAGAUCUGAACCUGACUGCGUGGCAAGCAGUGCACAGCGGGGACAGCAGCACUGUCACACACACCCCACAGCACUCCCCCCACUCCUUGCCCUGCCCCCCAUCUUUGCUCCCCUGUGAAGCUGCUUUAGGUCCCUCUGUGGUUUUGCAGAGCAUGGGCUGUGCUGGGGGUUUUUGCACCCCAGAGCUGAUCUUGGACAGCGCUUUGCCAUGCACGUGGUUUUGCAGCCCUUUUACACACAUCCUCGUCUUUUCGGCCGUAUUUUUGGACCUUGCACAGGGGGUGCACCCACCCCUCCAGCACCCUGGCACCCCCCAGCACAGCACAGCUCCCUCCCUCGCUCUGUGCCCUGGGACGCCCGGUCGGGCUCAGUGGGCCAUUGCCAGCAGCCGUUCCCCACGGCAGAGCCGGCACAAUGGGGCAGGCUGGGGCUUGCCCAGCUCUCCCCCCACCGCAGGCAAUGGCCCCUGCGUCACGGCUGUCACAAGGAGACGAGGGGCGUGUGCCCCUUCCUCCUCCUUGAAGUAUGCCCGGGGUUGGAGGGGGGGGGUCCUCCAGCCCGACCCACAUUGCUGCAGCAGGAAAUUGAGGGCGCAUCCAGCCCUGCGGCGUUGGAAGCUGUGCCCCCACCACCCGCUUGGGGAAUGCAGGAGUGCCCACAGGCUGCAGCUCUGCUUGCCCCGCUCACCCACAGGGACUCCACAUCAGCCAACAGCUUGAGUGCAGUCGCUGCCAUGCUUCACCCCUCCUUUGUCACUGUCCUACUCUGUCCAGUGCUGCACUGGGAGGACCGGGGAGCUGCAGGGGUUCCCACGUGGGCAUGGGGCAUCGCAGCCCAGAGCAAAGCUGGAGAUACAAAGCGUGAUUCCGGGGAGUGCACACACCAGGAACGUGUCACAGUCCCCACGUCCCCAUCUCUCCCGUGUCCCUGAUGGGGAUGUGGGUGCACGUGGCUCAGCGAGGGGGAGAUUUCUUUCUGGCUCUGGUCUGCCCUUAGAAUGAGGGGGUGAGCAAUAGCAGAAAUGCAUGGAUUGGCAGAAAAAGAAUCCUUCCCAACCGCUGCAGUGCUCACCCCAGGCAGCUUGAUUCUUAGGGACGCAGUGCUCGCUAGCAGAUGUCCCCACCAACCCUGGUGGGCAAACACACCCAGGCUGUGUCACAUGCAGAAAAUACACUGCCCUUCGUGGCGGCCAGCACACAGCUGUUUGCAGCGUGAUAAGGUGGAUCAUAAAACGCACCCAUUGUUGAAUGAAAGCGGCCCGCUGGGCGUUCUCAGCUCCUUUCCUGAGCAUGGGGUGGGCUGACAAGGGGAAGAUGGAUGGGGACACAGCGGUCCCCCCCCAUGGCAGGAGGCCGCAGGGGGUUGGGGUGUCUGAUUUGUGGCACACACAGAGCAGCGUGUGACAUUGGCAGAGCCAGCUGCAGCCGGUGGCAGGGUCACGCUGGGGCACUUCCCUGCCAUGCAUCGCCUUCCUGCAAUGGGCGCAGCACAUUUCUGGCAGCAAACAAUGGCCAGGACACAUUGAGCUGCUGCAUUU